ACAAUUUCCACUUCUUUGAUCCCCGUCUUUUUUCUUUUCUUUUUCUUUUCACAUCCACACAACCAUGAGCCUUUUCUUUGUUUUUUUUCUUUCUUUUCUUUUUCUUUGCUCUAUGGUUUCAAGGGUGAUUUGUUUUUCUUGUUUCUUUUUAUACUUUCACACUUCCAUAAAAACUCACUUCUCCAAGUUUCUAGUCAAC
rnacentral:lncRNA from 1 species